GCCGGAGGUUGGGUGGGGUACUCACUCCCUCAGGCUGGCCAGGGGUCUGGGGACCAGCCUCCACUGCAUGCCCGGAGCAUCCUGCCCGUCCCUGGGGCCCCACCAGCACAUCUCCCAUGUGAUCUGCAGGUCAUGCUGCAUUUGCACAUGUGAGACCAGAAUGUGCUGCGGCAGCUCCCCCGACGGGGUUCAGCCAGCUCCCAUCCAGAGGACACCUUGAGAACCUCAGCACUCUGGAAAUUCCAGCUCUGGCCAGAAACAGAUGAAGCCCAAAUACAUACGUGUUAUAAAUCACAGUGUCGCAGAGACUGAGUUGGGUGGGAUGUACGGGUUUUUGUGAGGCCAGGGAAGGUUCCCACCAGCUGGCACCAUCCUUCCACACUCUGUCGAUACCAAGGCUCUUGGAAAAUUUUAAACUGGCUUUGAGAGUCUGGUGGCCCAUCUCGAGCUGGGCAGGAAGAGGGAGGUCUUUCUGUGUUGUCUCCAGAAGUAGAUGAGCUGAUGGGGUGCACCCUUCGCCAGAAUCCCACGGAUUCUGGGGCCAGUCUCAGAGGUGCAGGAGGAAGAUUUGCUGGCUUCAGUACUCGUUUCUGUGGGUUUUCUACACUGGACGGAUUUGCUGCUCCCUCAGGUUGCAUGAGGCCCCCGUUGCUCUUCCAGUCCCGGGGCCCAGCCCCGCCUGCUCUGGUGGGGCAGGCGGAGGAGGCCAGGCGUGGACAGAGGCCUGGAGGGGCCAGGAGACUGCUGGUCGGCCAGCCUCGGGUGGUGGGACUGGGCUUGCGCGCCGUCGGCCCCUGCCGGGCUUGAGGUGAGCACCGUUUGGUACAUCCUGCUGGACACCAGGGGGCUCCCACCAGGCUGUGGUGUGGGGUCUCCAUGCUGCAGCGGGUGUGUCCAGGGGAGUCGGCUCAGGCCCCUGAGGACUCCCAGUGACUCACGUCCUGCCCUCACCCAUGAGGCGCAGGUGUCCCGCCCGUGCUCCAGCUCCCAGCUCCACGCUCGCUGGGGCUUCCUCCUGCCAUUGCCUCCGGCUCCCGUCGGCAUUGCUGGGUCUUCCUCUUUAUUCUCGUCUGCGGGUGAGUCGUGAAGCCUUGCUGCCCGGGGUCCUGCGCUGCGACCCAGGCCCAGGGGCUGCGGGCUCAGGCUGCCCAUGUUGAGGAGGAGGCUUAUUGGCUGUGUCCGGGGCCCACCUCCUCGUCCUGUACUGGCCUUCCUCCUGAGCUGUCCCUGCCCGAGAGAGGCCAGGAUGGUGAGCACAGAAGGGGCCACCCAGACAGCGACAGGGACGCCUGGACCCUCUCCAGGGGUCCCCUGGGUGAGUUCAUUGAACGAGGGGCUGGGGGAAGGCAGGUGGCUAGGAAUUUGAGGGCCCCCAGACACAUUCUGCUCUAAAGUUCUGUGCUCUGUGGACACAGGGCAUCAUAGUGCACGGUCUCUGGGGCCCAAAGGGGCUGCCCUCCCUGCCCUGUGGUGCUGCUGGUGGUGCCUGGAAUCCACCCAGCGCCUCCUGGGAGCCCCUGCCCCACCCUCAACUCCCGAGGCUCUGCUACUGCCUGCAGGGGCGUGCUCUUGUGAGCAUUGGUACAUGGCUGUGUGUGUGCAGAGUCCUCCCCCAUGCCAGCAUGUCUGCCUGAGCUGCGACAGGCGCUCCAGGGGCAGCCCCCACCCGGGCCCCCAGGGGCUUGGGGAGGCUGCCCGGCAGACUUAUUUUUAUUAUGUCAGAGCUCUCGCUGGAAGGUUUUAUACAUAUAAAACGCUUCCUAAAGAUUGUACGUAUUUUCAAAAAUAAUAUUUAUGUUGUUAAAAAUUUAGGAAAUUGGUUAGUUUUCUUUAAGCUUCCGAUUUCAGCUUGUGUGUCAUCAUUCUUGUUACAGAACUCACAAGUUCUGUCACUUUGAGGGAGUGGUUUUCUUCCAAGUCACCUUAUUGACAUGUGAUUUCAUGUGGCAUGUAGUGCCCACGUCUGUCCCGCCGCCUCUGAGCGCUGCAGUCAGUCUGCUGCCACCCCGGGCACCCCCGCCGGCCACGUGCGGCCCUUCCUGCCUGUCCUGCAGCCUUGCCCAGCACACAGCCCCUGUCUGCCACCUCCCACCCAGCACCCUGCUGUGCCCGCCAGUGGCUGUUCUGGCCUCCUGCUGAGGGUGGCCCCGUUUGGACACACCGCGGUUUGUUGACCCAUUUGUCUGUUGGUGACAUUGGGGCGUUUGUAUUAGUGUACAUGUUACAUAUGUGAGUGUGUGAAUGAGUCUACACCUGUGAAGUGUGAAUCAAUUUUGCACUUUUACACCAGAGAGAGCACAGCUGGGGAAGAGCAGAGUCAGGGCUGACUGCCUGGUCAGGACGGGGCGCCGACUGCAUUGGUCAGGAUGGGGAGCCAGCACGAGGCACGACAAGACAGUCGACAGGACAGGACAGAGCCUAGAAACGACCCUCACAGACGGGGCCAGGCGCCCGGGACGGAGAAGAGGCAGUUCAGAGCAGAAGGGGGAGUCUUUUCAACAAGGUGGGCCUGGAGUGACCAGACAUCCACUUGGAAAGAGAGUCUAGACAUAGACUUUACAUGUUUCACAGUGAUUGAUUUGAAAUGGAUUAUAGACUUAAAUGAAAAAUAGAAAACUGUAAAACUUCUUGAGGAAAACAUGGGAGAAAGUCUGGUGACGUUGAUUUGGUGAUGACUUUUUAGAUAGAAUACCAAAAGCAGGAUCCAUGGAAGAGAAGACAGGCGCCCUGUACUCUGCGGGGUUGGGGGGUGUGCAGAGGGUAUAACUGUAAAUACCUCAUUAUCCUACUCCGAACACCUUUGGCAAAAUACCUUCAUUAAAACUGAAAACUUCUGCUCUGCAGAACUUGUUGUUAAGGCAAUGAAAAGACAAGCCAUAGGCUGGUAGUAAGGAAGUAUUUGCUGAACACACAUCUGAAGAAGUACUUGCACUGUGCAGCGACCUCCUAAAGCCCACGGUGGGGAAGCCAGCAGCGCAGGGCAAACUGGGCAGGCGAUCUGCACGGACACCAGAGGUCACACACGAGGAGGCGCUCACAUCACCUGGCAGGGAGGUGCCGCCUGCACCUCAGGAGCCCCGCGGCGUGAACCCAGCAGCACCGCGGGCUGGUGAGGCUGUGGAGCCACAGACGCUCCCCCAUCGCUGGUGGGGUGCACAUGGGGCUGCCGCUCCGGGGGACAGCUUGGAGUCCCUCGUGGAACCAGACACUCCUGCCAUGAGGUCCAUCGGUUGUGCUCCUUGGUGUUUACCCAGAGCAGCUGAAAUUUCCCCACACAGAAACCUGCACACGGGUGUUCAUAGGAGCAACCAAGACGUCCCUCAUGGGUGAGUGGGCAGACACACGAGGACACUUGUUCGAUGGACUCACUAAGCAGUGAGGGGAAUGAGCUGUCGAGCUGUGGAGACAUGGAUGAAGCUUAAAUGCAGGUUGCUGAGUGAGAGAAGCUGUCUGAGAAGGGGACGUGCCGUAUGAGUCCAGCUCUGUGAUGUGCUGGAAAAGGCAAGCUGUGCGAUGAUGAAAGGAUCAGUGGUUUCCAGGGCAGAGGGAGAAUGAGUAGGUGGAGUGUGGGAUUUUUUAGGGAUUUUUUGAAACUGCUGUGUGUGAUAUUGUAAUGGAGAAUACAUGCCCUUGUGUCUUUGUCAAAACCGUGGGACUUUAAUGUAUGCAGAUUGAAUCACGCUCCUUGGAGAAACGGCCGGUGCCAGGGCCGGGGCAGGGGAGCCCAGGGUGGGCCUGGAGCGUCUCCUUGGCAGCCCUCACAGAGAUGUGUGUCCCAGAGGUACAGAAGCUGAAUAAAAGAGCUCCCAGCAGCCAAAGCUGGAACAAUUUGAGCAACAAAAUCAACAGUAAUCUCGAAUGAUAACCCAAAGUGUAACGUAGACAUCCAUGAGGCCGUGUUGAUAGAAGAAACGGUCGAAUGUGUGAGUCGGGGAGAAGACAAGUCUCCCACGCAGAGGAUGUCCCCUCAGGCUGUGCAGAGGGCCUCCCUUCCGAGGGUGCGGUGUGGCGGGGUGGGGCACCUCGACACCCACCCGAGCAUCGAGAAUCAGCGGUGGCGUGUCCUAUGAGGGUGUGGCGCGGGCGGCCCCUCACACCUGUGGUCUUCUGCUCAGCCAGCAGCUGGCAGCCUUAACUAGGGACUUCACAGCCCUCUGCCCAGCCUCUCAGACCAGGGACAGUCUGAGGAUCCGCACAGCCCAGAGGAGCUGAAGGAGACAUGAUGACUGAUUGCCAUGGGGGUCUGGAGUGGGGUCCUGGGGCAGAAAAGGGACAUGAAGUAAAAACCGAGGAAAUCUGAAAGCACUGCCGACUUCGGUGUAUCAGCGUCGGUUCGCUAACUGACAGAGGUGCCCUCCUGACAGUAGAGGGGCUGGGCUUGGGGAGUGUGGGAAGCUCUAUACUGUCUUGGCAAAUUUUCUGUUCUAAAAUUAAAAGGUUACUUUAAUGUGUAA